GAGAGCCCCCACCCUCCCUCCACACAAACGCUUAGUCCUGGUGCUGCAGAAGGACAGUUGGAAGCACACCAGACCCAGACUUGGGAGACCUGGAAUGUGGUCACGUGACAACAGAAGCCCGCUUUGAGGGGACCAAAUCAAGCAUCCUCCCCUUUUCUCACCCCCCACCCUUGAUCCGGCACAGACUUCGGGAGCACGGAGACUCCAGGGAUUCCCGGAGCCCGCAAGCAAGCCCAGCCUUUUUGGAAAGCUUGGGAAACCCCUGGCAGGAUGCUGAGAGGAGGGAGCGCCGAGUGGGAGUGGUAGAGCCAGGGCAGGGCGGCGCAAGAGGACCCCAAAGGCGCUGCCUGUUGUCCAGCCCUAACACUGGCGUGUGACUGAGAUCCAUCAUUUAUUUCUCUCAGCUCGAUCUGCAAAGACAACACCAAGUGCUGGCUCCUCUCCAAAGAGAGGACUGUGUCGAGCCUGAGCGUCUACACAUGGAACGCUCUGGGGUGGUCCCGCUAAGGAUGUCAUGAAAAGUCGUUAAGAUUCUGGGCCUCCCCCAUCCCUGUGUCUGGCCUGGAGAGGAGAGAGCAGAGCUUACUGGAGAGGCGCCAGAGGGUCCAGAGGGUCCUGGAUGCUCCCUGCCCUUUCUUUCUCUAAGACACCUAUCUGAGGCUGCCCGUCUUGUGCCACGACUCCCGCUGCGGGGGACCAGAGGAUGACUGAGAUACAAUCCACUGGCUGUGACCUCAGAGUUGGCAUUCUCAGAUUGCUUCUUGUUGGGUACUGGAUCAUAGCCAAAGAAAUACAGCUAGUCACUGUGCCACAAUGCCGGCGGUGGUGGAGGAGGAUUCCUCUGGUGGUCGCUUCUUCAGACUAGAUGUCUUCAGCGGACGAUGAACGAACGUCACUUGAGAGGACUCGCUUUGAUCUUGGUCUGGUUCAGACAUGGAA
ensembl:lncRNA